rnacentral:lncRNA from 1 species
UGACUAGCAACCUUUACUACUUGUGAAAAUAAGUUCAUAACGAUUAGGUGAAAUUCACUUAUAUUCUAGCAUCAAAUUCAUGCAUGUAAAUUAAGCGUGCACUCUCAACCAACAUACACAAAUCAGUUUUUAUACGAACGGAUAAGUAAAUUGAAAUCACAACUUAUGAAAUCACAACCGAAGGUAAUCAAUUCAUAUUACAAAUAUAUUCAUGGUUUCGACUUAACCUCUAGCCAAAAUAAAAUUAAUUACACAUUAUUAAAACAAAAAUAAAAUAGGAGUUUGGAAAGAUUAAACCGAAAGAAAACUUCUGCUUUCUGUGCUCUGACCAACUCUUGCUGUGCUCUCCUCUCCAUUCCGUGGACUUGGCUUCUUCUCUCUGACCUCGCUGCCAAAGGGCAGCGUUCUUCCCCCAGCUCUCAGUCAGUCCGCCUCUCCCUAUUGCCCACGCUGCCCAAGGGCAGCCCUCCUGCUUUCCCACGCUGGUUUUCAAACUGCCCCCGUGUUUCCCUCCUCUCUGACCUCCUGACCUUCCCAAGCUGCCAAAGGCAGCUUUCCUCCUGAUUUUUUUUUUAUUUCUUUCCUAUUUUCUUUUUCUGCUUCUGGCAGCAAGGCUGCCUUUCUCUCUAUCCCGUACUCACCUUUCCUGCACCUCCUGCGCACUGCUGCCAAAGCAGCCCCCCCCCAGUCUCUCCGCUUGUCUCUGCGAGCUGCCCAAAGGGCAGCUCCUUUCUCCCCCUCCCAGACCCCCCCUUUUGCACCAAUCUACUUCUCCUUCUUUUAUUCUUUUCUGACCUCUUGUUCUCUGCUUUUGACUCCUUGGAUUCCUUCUCCGCGUCCAGCUGCAAAGCAGCUCUCCCUCUUGGAUCCCUUUCACGUUUUCUGCUUUUCUUUAUUGCUCACGCUGUCUCUCCACUUCUUCUAUUUAUUUUCUCAGUGCUUUCCACUUUCUUCUCCUACAAACACAAUAAAUUAAAAGUAUCAUAAAUACUUAAAGCUUUAACUAAAUUAGACAAGACAAGAAAAGAAAUAUAAAAGGAUGAAAUAUAUAGUUUAAAUAUUGGUUUAUCAUUUAGCGUCACAAUGGGUUGGCAAUAUUGUAAUUUAAAUUUGCUUUUGACGAAUUUAUUACAUAAAAUUUCACUUGUUCUAUUUUUAUUUUCUUUGCAUAACAAAUCCUAUAAACACAAAAAUAACGUAAAUAGCUCAAAAAUAUAAGGAACUAACUAAGAAAAGACGAGUGAAUUUGAAGUAAAAAUAUAUAUAAAUAUGAUCCGAUCAAAUACCCCCAUACUUAGCUUUUGCUAGUCCUCGAGCAAAACAAAGAAAACAUGAAAAAGUACUAACAUGAAAAACAUUAGUUUCCCCCUAUGUGACCCUCAUAGAAUUUCAUUCGAGAAAACAAAUCAUCAAGAACCAUAGCUAGCACCAACAAACUAAUCCAAGUUCAUCCUCCUUAUUCAAAUAUUAGCAGUAAUCUUUGAAUCAUCCUUGAAGUGUAGUGUGUGAGAUAGCCAUGCUAAUGCAAUUUCAAGUUUUUAUUUUUAAAAUCAUCAUGUGCAAACUAGCGACCUUCUCACGGGAUAUGCACUCAAUCACACACAUGUGUUUAGUUUUAAUGUGUUUCGCUCAAAGAAUCAAAUGUGAAAUUCUCUACCAUAAGCUUGCAUAAAGAUCACUUCUCCACAAUCAUAAUUGCAAAACUUAAAUCAAGAGGACUUUUAUUGGAUGUAAUGAGGUUUAGGGAGAGGGUUAUUGAAAUGAAAGAAUAGGAAAACACAAGUUCCAAGCUACAUUGCAAGCAAUUCUUUUCUUUAGAUUUAUAAGAACUCAAGCUCUCCAACAAUUCUUCUAGCACCUCCAACCAUACCCUUAAACUGAAACUUGAACAACUUUUUUAUUUUUUGUUUGUGUACAAUUUUUCUUUUUCUUUUUCUUUUCUUCUCUUUUUUCCUUUUUUUAUUUUUUAAUCACAAACAUGAAAUACCCCCACACUUAUUCUUUUGCCAAACAUCUUCACAGUACUUCACAAACGUUUCUCAUAAGACAAUUUCGCAUUGCUCGCUUGGAAAGGGUAAGGAAAAAUGUUUCAGGUAUAAGGGUAGACAUAUCUGAUGAUAAGAAAUAAAAGGCUCAACAUACACGGCUCAAAUUGGCAAUCUAAUGAUAUCAUUUUUCUUUGGGAAACAUGGUUAUUUGGGCCAUAGUGGUAAACCUAAUGCCUCUAUCAUUUCCAAAUUCAUGCAAUCAAUGACAAACAUUUCGAAAGAUCGUUACGCAAGUUCUAGAGAUGUAUAUCACAUAAGUUCAUCACAAAAAAAAAAAUAGGAGUGUAUGAAAAAUGCACACACUUUCAAUAGGCUCAAAAACUCACAUAGGAUGUAUAUGGUCACUAAAUUCACAUAUGAAGCUUUAAGUCAUACUUUAGUUUCACAUUAACAAGGCUAUGUGCAUUUGGUUUUUCAAAGAUGAUCAAACAUGUACAAAACUAACAAGAGAAUUAGGAAUUUCACCAAACACAUGUUAACUAAGUUCUUGAUGAUCAUGGUUCAAAUUUGAUCCAAUUAUAUCAUUGAGUCGGGAAACUAACAAAAAUCUAAUUCAAAACAAUAAGGGAAACAAGACAAUAUUUUUGGAUUUUUAAAUUUUCCGAUUUUUUUUUUUAUUUUUAUUUUAUUUUUUUAUUUUUUAUUUUAUUUUUUAUUUUUUUAAGAAAACAAAAACUAACAACACAGAAACAAAUGAAAUUCUAGAGAUUUCUACCCCCACACUUAAACUUGACAUUGUCCCCAAUGUCAGAAAACACUAUAACGCAAAAUAAAAAUAAAAUAAAAUAAAAAAAUAAUAAGAAACAUAAAAACGCAAUUGGACUGAAAACUUCCCUAAUUUGCAGUAAAAUCAAGCGAUGACCCCCAAGCUAAAAUUCUGCAAUCAACUUCAAGGGUGGAAAUAACCAAAAGUUCCUGCAAAGAAAAGAAAUAAUUCAGUUAAGUACGCAAGAAAAUUAAUUAAAAAAAAAAAAAUUGCAAACGAAAAAUUGAAAAUUACGAUAAAAGAUAAUGAAUAAAACUAAUAAGUAAUCAUUGGUCGUGCUUGUUGACUUUCCACAGCUUUCCUCUUGAACAGGGUGACACUUAGCUUUUUACUUGCAAGUGAUGAUUUGAUGAUAUUGUACGGCGAAGCUUUGCUCUUUGGUGAUGUUGCAGUUCCUUAUUUGUUCUCCAAGCAGAUGUGGCAGCUUCUCUAGUUCCUCAGCUCGGACUCCUUCCGCUGGGAUGAUUUGUGCAAGCUGCAUUCUUCUCUGCUUGUUUCCUCUGCAUGGCGGGGGCAGGCACGAGGGAGAGGUGUUGGUCUGUUUCUUUCUUCAAUCUUUCCAAGUGCCCACCUCUUGCUCUCUUUCUCCUUGUCCUUAGUUGAGGAUGAAUCAGCACGUUGUCUCCACAUGCUUCGAGGUAUCAUCUUCACUUCCCUUAUAAGUGAGAAACAAAGAGAAAGCAUAAGAUGAUGAGUACUCGAGAGCAAGGGCUGGCUGGAGAAAGGACAGGGAGAAAGCAUGAUAUGAGAUACUCUUGCUUUCAACCUUUAUGAUAUGAAAUACUUUUGCUUUGAAUGGGUUGUUCGCAGGAGUAUCCCAAGGAAUGAGGAACAGAGAGUGACUCGAGAGGAUUCUUUGGGAAUGCAUUUUCGGAGAUGAAGAGGUGUUGAGAGGGUAUGCUGAGAGAAUGUGCUUUUGCUGUGGAAGGCCAAGGUAGAAACUUAUAGGACUUCUCUUCACAACCGGAACUGUUCUCUCACUCAUUGUCGGCAGCCGGUGGAUGGAUGAAUAGUACAAAUUACGCGCUUUCUGACAAAGCUGCCCGUAAUUUCCGCAAAGCAGAUUCCUCAUUGAUAUCUGGAAUCGGCGCUUCGAGCUCUGAGCAUCGUCGAUUGUAGAGGUAGCAUGUGACACGUGCGGAUAAAUCUGGAAAAGAAGAUUUUCCCGUGGGUUGAAGCCUAGCUUUUGAGAAAACUAGCGUGUCUUUGACUGUUGAAUUUCCCUCUUCGAUUUCUGAAUUGGUGCUUCGACAAACUGCCCGAGAUUUCCGCAAAGCAAUUUGCGUGUGUGACAAGUGACGACACGUCUGGACAAAUUGAUCUUUUGAAAUCCGGGGUUCGGCUCGUGGUUUCUGAGCAAGCCCAGCCUUUAAGAAAUGAAACGCCUCUUUUGAGAAAAGAAUCCGGCUUUUGAGAAAGGAAACUCCUCUUUUGAGAAAAGAAUCAGACGUUUGAAAACGGAGCCCCGACUCUUCGAUUUGCGAGAGGACGCUUCUCUGAGGAGCGCCUCUUUGAUUUCUUCCUUUUUAUAGAGACGUUAAGCUUGUUCCACAACACACUUGAGCUCCCUCCUGUAAACAUUCCCUUCUUGCACUUCCAAAAUCUUAAUCAUUCCGACUCUCUUCUUUCUUCACCACCUCUGAAAAAUGUCUGGCCCUUCCGAUCGUCGUUUUGACUUGAACAUUGGUGAAGAGGCAGCUCCGCCUUCACCAGACAACAUAUGGCGCCCAUCCUUCAUAUCCCCUACCGGUCCCCUUACCGUGGGGGAUUCGGUGAUGAAAAAUGAUAUGACAGCUGCGGUGGUGGCUCGGAACCUUGUCACCCCAAGAGAUAACAGACUGCUCGCUAGACGAUCUGAUGAAUUGGCGGUUAAGGAGUCUCUGGCUCUUAGCGUGCAGUGUGCGGGUUCCGUAUCCAACAUGGCCCAACGCCUAUAUGCCCGAACCCGUCACGUUGAAUCCUUGGUGGCUGAAAUACAAAGUCUCAAGCAAGAGAUUAAAGGGCUCAAGCAUGAGAAUAAGGAAUUGCACAAGCUCGCACACAGCUAUGCUACCAACAUGAAGAGGAAGAUUGACCAGAUGCAGGACACCGAUGGUCAAAUUUUACUUGAUCAUCGGAGGUUUGUGGAUUUGUUCCAACCGCAUCUGCCUUCGUCUUCUGGAGCGGCACCGCGUAGUGAAACUCCA